rnacentral:rRNA from 1 species
AUUGAACGCUGGCGGCAUGCCUUACACAUGCAAGUCGAACGGUAACAGAUCUUCGGAUGCUGACGAGUGGCGAACGGGUGAGUAAUACAUCAGAACGUGCCUAGUAGUGGGGGAUAACUACUCGAAAGAGUGGCUAAUACCGCAUGAGAUCUACGGAUGAAAGCAGGGGAUCGCAAGACCUUGUGCUACUAGAGCGGCCGAUGGCAGACUAGGUAGUUGGUGGGAUAAAAGCUUACCAAGCCGACGAUCUGUAGCUGGUCUGAGAGGACGAUUAGCCACACUGGGACUGAUACACGGCCCAGACUCCUACGGGAGGCAGCAGUGGGGAAUUUUGGACAAUGGGCGCAAGCCUGAUCCAGCAAUGCCGCGUGCAGGAUGAAGGCCUUCGGGUUGUAAACUGCUUUUGUACGGAACGAAAAGCCCUGGGUUAAUACCCUGGGGUCAUGACGGUACCGUAAGAAUAAGCACCGGCUAACUACGUGCCAGCCGCCGCAGUAAAAC